rnacentral:lncRNA from 1 species
GGGAACAGUAUUAAACAAGAUGGAGGGUUGAUCCCAGGCUUGUGGUUGAGAGAGAUAAUAAGGGAAGGUGUCCCCAAGGCACAAACGCCUAUGGUACAAUCUCAAAGAAGAGUGACAGCCAGUUAAACAGGAAAGGGUUAAGGUCCUUGGGCAGGAGCGUCAUGGCGCUCUCAAGGAGUUGAAAGAAGGCUGCAGUGACUGUUCUAGAGGAGCAUGUGGUUCUUGAGAUGUGGCUCGAGAGGCCUGCAGAGCACGCAGGGCCUGUGGAGCUAGGAAAAGGUCUGGGACUUAACGUCAGGCCAUGUCCAAGGGCAAUGAAGGGUUUUUAAUUUACUUAUUUUCAAUUGGGAUAAAAUGUACAAAUAAAAGAUGUCAUUUUAACCAUUUUAAGUGUACAAUUCAGUAACAUUAAGUACAUUCACACCCUUGUGCAACCAUUGCCAUCCGUCUCCGGAGCUGCUUCUCAUCCCCAAUUGAAACUGUCUCCAUUAAGUACUAACUCCUCAUUCCCUCCUUCCUCCGGUUGCCAGUAGUCACUGUUCUAUAUUCUGUCUCUAUGAAUUUGAGUAUUCUAGGUCUCACAGAGAAGUGGAAUCUCAUAGAAUCUAUCCUCUUGUGUCUUAUUUCACUUAGCCUAAUGUAAUAAAAGGUUUUGAAGCCCAAAAGGAUAUUGGUGAAAUACCUCAACGAGAGAGAUGGGCACUGCAACUCAAUGUCUGUCCUCUUCCUUGCCUUCUUUGGAUGCUAAUUAGGGAUUGCGAUGUGAACCUAUAUAGUCGGAAUAGUUUCUGAUAUCUGCUUGAAUGCCAGAUGGCAACUGCAUUCCUGACCUCUGGGGAAUGUAAAGUCUGUCUGAAGCCGAAGGAGGACUCAGAGCAUCACAGGUCCUGGGGCAGGUACUAAGGAGGCACCUCCAAGGAGGCUGGGCCGUCUGGAAACAGUCAGUCAGGAUUCUGGCGGUGGUAGAGCUGGAGCCCCGGCAUUUUCUGCCGUUGGAUCAUGUCGCUACCAAAAGUGACUCUCGGCUCUUGGGAGGCUGUGGGCCUGUGGUCCCUCAGGCCAGGCUUCUUGGAGCUUGUGAGAGGGUAAGUAAGUGGGGGCCAGGGAAGGGGGCACUU